rnacentral:tRNA from 1 species
GGACUUGUAACUUAGUGGUAGAGAGUGUGCUUAGCAUGUACAAAGCCCUGGGUUCAAUCACCAGCAGGUUUC